CUUUUUGCUGAAUCUUUUAUGAUAACAUAAAUUGAACAGGCUAAUUUGCGCAAGAGAGUACAAAUUGAGUGCGCGGUUUGGCACCUCGAUGUCGGCUUAGCUCAUCCUCAUGCAUGCAGAAAUCAUGAAGGGUUCGACUGUUCGUCGAUUAAAGAGCUACACGAGCUGGGUUUAAUACGUCGUGAGACAGUAUGGUUUCUAUCUUCUAGAGGAACAUAAAGUAGAUUAAAGAUAGCCCCUUCGUACGAAAGGAGUUGGGUAUAUUGAUCUCUGGUUUACCUGUUGUUUAUGGUUUAUAUUAUAACAUAUGUUAUAAUGAUAAUUAAUACUUAUACUAAGGUAUUGUUACACUAUUAGUAGUGUAACCAGACAACAUAGGCAUGGCAGGAAAGCUACAUCAGUUAAAGAUAAGUGUUGAAAGCAUCUAAACGCGAAGCAAACUUUAUGAUACUUUUAUACGUAGUAGAACACUACGAGCAUAAUUGUUAUUUUAACAAUUAAUAGGCUUUGGUUGUAAGAAUGAAAACAUUUUUAGAUAUAAAGUACUAAUUUUUA
rnacentral:ncRNA from 1 species